rnacentral:misc_RNA from 1 species
GUUGAAAAUGCUAGAAGGAACUAUAGUGAAUGUUCCUGAGAAGGGGGCGAGGAAGCAUCCUCGGGGGGAUAACAUACAGAUAGAUACAAAAGAUAUCCUGUUUAUAGUUGGUGGAGCAUUCGUGGAUCUUGAUAAGACAGUUUCAGAGAGACGGCAAGAUUCAUCAAUUGGAUUUGGGGCACCUGUUCGUGCUAACAUGAGAGCAGCUGGAGUAACCAAUGCUGCAGUCACAUCAUCUUUGCUUGAAUCUGUUGAAAGUGCUGAUCUUAUAGCAUAUGGCCUUAUACCAGAGUUUAUUAGCCGUUUUCCUAUAUUAGUUAGCUUGUCGGCUCUUACUGAGGACCAACUUGUCCAGGUCCUCACAGAACCAAAAAAUGCUCUAGGCAAGCAGUACAAGAAAUUAUUUAGGAUGAAUAGAGUGAAGCUACAUUUUACAGAAAAAGCGCUAAGAUUAAUCGCCCAAAAGGCAAUGGCUAAGAAUACUGGUGCUAGGGGUUUAAGAGCCAUACUAGAGAGUAUUCUAACUGAAGCCAUGUAUGAGGUAUGCAAGUCUCUUAAGGCUUAUUUGGGGGUGGAAAAAAACUGAAAGAUAUACUGUCUAGUGGCAACAUAGAGUUUGCUUACAGAUACUUGACAUAUUAACUUAUUAUAUUCCUUGCAUAUUUCAGAUUCCUGAUUUGAAAACAGGUAGUAAUAGAGUAGAUGCUGUUGUAGUUGAUGAUGAAUCUGUAGGUUCUGUAAAUGCUCCUGGAUGUGGCGGAAAAAUUCUUCGUGGAGAUGGUGCAUUGGAGCGUUACCUUGCAGAAUAUAAGCUGAAGGAAUCAACGGAAAAUGCUGAGGCUGCUGAUGCAGAUUUGCAAGAAGGUGAAUCAGAAGUGUCAUCAAGAGCCAUGAGCAUGUAAGAGCUGGCCCGGGCUGGUUCCAUUUUAGAACUGACAGUUCUGGUUCAAGGUUUAAGCGAGACAAAAUUGAAACCAUAGGAUCCCUAUCAGUUCCACAUUGCUGUUUCAGAUCUGAUUCGAUUUCGGUUUUGAUCAAAUUUAACGGUUGAUUUUAAAAAAAGAAAAUCCAGUUUUGAACCAAAUCGAACCUGUCAGUUCAAGAUGGCCAGUUUUGGUUCCGGUUUUGAUUAGUCCAGUUCUGAUUUUAAAUCGGAUCACGGCUGGGUCUAAUUGUUGCCAUUUGUAAAAUUGCUGUUUUUAUUUGUAAAAAGUGAUAUUUCUUGAUUGGAUUGUAAUUAUAGCAUAGCUAAUGAUGAUUA